rnacentral:lncRNA from 1 species
UCCGAAUCCUUCCUCAUCCAGAAGUCUUUAUCGGUAUAUUGUGAGAUCUCUUGCUUCUAAAUAGAUUUCUGAGUAGAUCAUUAUUGUAGAGAGUUAAUCUCUUAUUUCUUUAUUAAUUAGAUUUGAAUUCUUUUAAUCAUGAUCUGAUGCCCUAAUCUUAGAUGAUUUCUCAAUCAUCUACGGUCCGAAUCUAGAUCUAAGGGC